rnacentral:tRNA from 1 species
AGUUAAAUAAUUUAAUAAAAAUAUUAAUUUUGUAAAUUAAAUAUAAAUAUAAAUUGUAUUUUUUAACUA